UCUUAAACCUCUCCCAACAUCAACAUUUGUAAUUCAUUCUGUACAAACAUUAUUAAAUGUUAUGCAUGAAUUCAAGUCUAUUGUUCACCGUUUUCAAUGUGAAUUGGCCAGGAGUCAUCAUUUUCUCGCUGCUAUUAAAAGAGGCUAUGUAGGUGACAUGCUCCUCUGUAUACAUCUGUAAAUACUUCUGCCACACUUUACAAUGUCCCGCCCCUGCAAGUACAUACUGCUAAUGGAACAGUUAUAAUAGCCUACUGUGUCUAAAAAAUACAAAAAAAUAUUUUACCUUUGUGUUUAUUUAAUAUGGUCAGUAACCAUUUAACAUAAACGCUGUAAUGUAAAGUUAUUUUCAUAUGUUUACUGAUGAGCCCUCUGAGAAAGACGGAAAAAUAAAUGUUUAUAAAAGCA